UACGUAGGGGGCAAGCGUUGUCCGGAUUUAUUGGGCGUAAAGAGCGUGUAGGCGGCUUGACAGGUCUGCUGUGAAAACUCGAGGCUCAACCUCGAGAUGUCGGCGGAAACCGUCUGGCUAGAGUCCGGAAGAGGAGAGUGGAAUUCCUGGUGUAGCGGUGAAAUGCGCGGAUAUCAGGAGGAACACCGAUGGCGAAGGCAGGUCACUGGGCCGCAACUGACGCUGAGGAGCGAAAGCAUGGGGAGCGAACAGG
rnacentral:rRNA from 1 species